rnacentral:rRNA from 1 species
AACGAACGCUGGCGGCAGGCUUAACACAUGCAAGUCGAACGGGCGUAGCAAUACGUCAGUGGCAGACGGGUGAGUAACACGUGGGAACCUUCCUCGUAGUACGGGACAACUCAGGGAAACUUGAGCUAAUACCGUAUACGUCCGAGAGGAGAAAGAUUUAUCGCUAUGAGACGGGCCCGCGUCCGAUUAGGUAGUUGGUGGGGUAACGGCCUACCAAGCCGACGAUCGGUAGCUGAUCUGAGAGGAUGAUCAGCCACACUGGGACUGAGACACGGCCCAGACUCCUACGGAAGGCAGCAGUGGGGAAUCUUGGACAAUGGGCGCAAGCCUGAUCCAGCCAUGCCGCGUGAGUGAAGAAGGCCUUAGGGUUGUAAAGCUCUUUUGCCAGGGACGAUAAUGACGGUACCUGGAGAAUAAGCCCCGGCAAACUUCGUGCCAGCCGCCGCCGUAAAAC